rnacentral:rRNA from 1 species
GAUCUUGGUCAGGAUUAACGCUGGCGGCGUGCCUAAUACAUGCAAGUCGGAUGGUUAGCUUGCUAACCAUGGCGAACGGGUGAGUAACACGUAGGUAACCUGUCUUAAAGACGAGGAUAACCAUUGGAAACGAUGGAUAAUACUGGAUAGGAUAUAUAAGGGCAUCCUGAUAUAUUUAAAGAUUUAUCACUUUAGUGAGGGGCCUGCGGCGCAUUAGUUAGAUGGCGGUGUAAAGGACCACCAUGACGAUGAUGCGUAGCCGGACUGAGAGGUUGAACGGCCACAAUGGGACUGAGAACGGCCCAUACUCCUACGGGAGGCAGCAGUAGGGAAUUUUCGGCAAUGGACGGAAGUCUGAACCCGAGCAACGCCGCGUGAACGAAGAAGUAUUUCGGUAUGUAAAGUUCUUUUAUUUGGGAAGAAAAGAUAAGAUUGACUGUACCAAAUGAAUAAGCUCCGGCUAACUACGUGCCAGCCGCCGC